rnacentral:tRNA from 1 species
GGGCGGUUAGCUCAGUGGUAGAGCACCUGGUUUACACCCAGGGUGUCGGAGGUUCGACCCCUUCACCGCCCACCA